rnacentral:misc_RNA from 1 species
GAUGAAGAACGUAGCGAAAUGCGAUACGUAAUGUGAAUUGCAAAUUCAGUGAAUCAUCGAGUCUUUGAACGCACAUUGCGCCCCCUGGUAUUCCGGGGGGCAUGCCUGUCCGAGCGUCAUUGCUGCCCUCAAGCACGGCUUGUGUGUUGGGCCCCGUCCUCCGAUCCCGGGGGACGGGCCCGAAAGGCAGCGGCGGCACCGCGUCCGGUCCUCGAGCAUAUGGGGCUUUGUCACCCGCUCUGUAGGCCCGGCCGGCGCUUGCCGAUCAACCCAAAUUUUUAUCCAGGUUGACCUCGGAUCAGGUAGGGAUACCCGCUGAACUUAAGCAUAUCAAUAGCGGAGGA